CAGGCACAGUGCUACUAAGCUAAAUACCUGGUCCACUUAAUAGCUACUCUUAUAUAAGUUAUUAUAUCUCCUUUUGUGAAAUAUUGGUUCAAAUAUUUUAGUCAUUUUUAAAUUAUUCACUUUUGUUUCAUAGUAGAAUAAUAAUCUUUUUAUUAUUAACUUGGAAGUCUUCUUUUCUUCUAUUAUAUUAUUAAUUUAUAUAUUCUGGAUGUAAUUUCUUUUUCUGACAUGUGUUACAAAUAUUUUCCCAAUAUAGCUCAAAAACUCAUGUCUUUGAUAGAAUAUCUUUGUUUUUUUUUUUUGGUACCAGGGAUCAAACUCGGGUCCUUGCACUUGCGCAGCAGGCAGCGAAACCACUGAGCUAAAUCCCCAGUCCUUGAUAGAAUAUCUUGAUAUGCAAAACAUUUCAAUUUUGUCAAAAUCUAAUUUUUAAAAUCUUUUAUAGUUAGCAUAUACUCUUUUCUAGUAAAUCUUUGUCUGCUACAGGUCACAAAGAUACUAUCUUAUGUUUUCUUCUGGGACAUCUUAUUGUUUUAUCUUUUGCAUUUUGAUUUCAGAUGAAUCUUAGUUUUUGUGUAUGGAAUCAGGUAGUGGUUAAAAUUUAUUUUUACUUCAGGGAUACCCAGCUUUUCUGGGAAUAUUUGCUGAAGAGAACAUUUUCUUUUUAUCCAUUAAAUUAGAUUAGCAUCCUUAUUAAGAGUCAAUGAGUCAAUUGCUCAUAUACAGAGUUUGCGUAUAUAUAUUUCAGCAGUUUGCCAUACUAAUAAAUGUCUGGAAGCUAAUAGCCACCACUUUGAGCACUUCUUGUAAUUUUAUAGGCCAAAAGGAACUUGUAUUAAUCUCAAAAUGUCUCAAUAAAUUUAGUAUUAAAAUAUUUAUACAAGUUUUUCUUUUCCUGAUGCAUACAUUUUUUGGCAGACUCUGUAUGUAUGGGUAUACUGAUGGAUCGUCUAUUCUAUUUUACUGACUAUUUUAUCUAUCCUAACCAGAGCAGUGGUUAGCUUGAAUGCAGUAACUUUACACUAAGUCUUGGAAUCAGGAAAUUCAAGUAAUACAACUUUUUUAUUCAUAUUGAAUCACAUUUCUAUCUAUUAGAGCUCUUUGGUGUUUGUGCAUGAACUUUAGACUCACUGUGAAAUUCUUUUAAAAAGUAUACUGCUUAGAUUUUGCUUCUGAUUUCAUUGAUUAUGUAAAGGUGCAAAUUUCCAAUGAUGAAUGUCAUUAUACUGUAUACCUAAAAUGUACCAAUAAAAUUAAUUUUUAAAAAGAAUGGAUAUCUUUAAAAUCCUGAGUUAUAUAAUCUGUGAACAGAAUAUCUUUCCAUUUAGUGAGUCUUCUUUAAAAUAGUUCACUAAAAGUUUUCAGUAUGUAGGUUGCAGACAUUAUUUAG
rnacentral:lncRNA from 1 species